rnacentral:rRNA from 1 species
GUCUACAGCCAUGCCACCCUGAACGUGCCUAAUCUCAUCCGAUCUCGGAAGCUAAGCAGGGUUGGGCUUAGUUAGUACUUGGAUGGGAGACCACCUAGGAAUACGUAGGCAUUAAAAAAU